AUGGGAAUAAUUCCCAAUAGGAACAAUCCCGAAUUCCCAAUGGGAACAAUCCUGAAUUCCCAAUGGGAACAAUCCCAAUGGGAAAAAUUCCCAACGCGAAUUCCCAACGGGAACGAUUCCCAGCGGGAAUUCCGGCCUGGAAAUUCCAGCCAGGAACUCCAGCCCAAGAAUUCCAGACGAGAAUUCCAGCCCUUCCCAGGGAAUUUUCCAGCCCUUCCCGGGGAUUUUCCAGCCUUUCCCAAGGAUUUUCCAGCCUUUCCCAGCGAAUUUUUGGGCUCAUCCCAAGGGAUUUUCCAGCCUUUCCCGGGGAUUUUGUCCCCCAAGGAUUUUCCAGCCCUUCCCGGGAAUUUUCCAGCCUUUCCCAGGAAUUUUCCGGCCCUUCCCAGGAAUUUUCCAGCCCUUCCCAAGAAUUUUCCGGCCCUUCCCGGGGAUUUUCCAGCCCUUCCCAGGGAAUUUUUGGGCUCAUCCCAAGGAUUUUUGCUCCCCCAGGAAUUUUCCAGCUCAUUCCCAGGAAUUUUCCAGCCCUUCCCAGGAAUUUUCCAGCCCUUCCCAGGAAUUUUCCGGCCCUUCCCGGGAAUUUUCCAGCCCUUCCCGGGAAUUUUCCGGCCCUUCCCAGGAAUUUUCCGGCCCUUCCCGGGAAUUUUCCAGCCCUUCCCGGGGAUUUUUGGGCUCAUCCCAAGGAUUUUUGCUCCCCCAGGAAUUUUCCAGCUCAUUCCCAGGAAUUUUCCAGCCCUUCCCAGGAAUUUUCCAGCCCUUCCCAGGAAUUUUCCGGC
rnacentral:lncRNA from 1 species